GAUCUGCGUACUACGGCGAGGCUAAGCUAGUGGGGGCAAAGUUUCAGUGCAUUCUGUUGAUGUAGACGGCGUGAAAACGGAAACAACAAGUAUGCCGGCUCACUGUGCUGCAUACAGUUACACACUACGUCGUACGAUUGAGACAAGGAAACUUGGAAUGACUUUUCAUAGGUUUCCCAGAGACUAUGGGUUGAGGAGGAAUUGGAAGUUUGUCGGCUUAGACCUGGUGUCAUUCCAUCAGUGUUAAACUUCCUGGCUCAUCUUGGAAGAGUACGUGCCAGAAAGACCACGACCAAGCAGCCUUGAGAUCUUAUGCAGCGUCUCCCUGAGGUCCCUCUCUAUCUCCCCACACAUCCACCAACCACUGGAACACAUCUCCAAAGUUCUGCUGGACCAGCUCAGCUUCCUCUCAGAAGAAGUGCUGCCACCUGCCAGAUGAAGGAGCCUUUUGAGAGGCAGCUGGCAUCGUGAUUGGACUGUACUUUGGUCUGUUCCAAUCCAGCUUCAGCUCCAGAGACGGCAGGCGGGACGAGUCAACGGAGGCCGGAUGGACGAAGGCAUGCAGCUGAGUACAAUCCAGAAAACAACAGAGGAGGAGUGUAGCAGCCCAGAGCCAGAACAACCAGAGUAGCAUCAUAUGUCUCUUAGAAAACAUCAUAGUUUAGCCUUUGGUAUGAAAAAAACGCCAUCAUAUACAUCGUAUAUUGUACAAAUAACAAGUCUAAGGAAAGAGACAUACAUUGUAGAAUUGUAGUAAUUGUGGGCCGACUGAUUUACUGAUUAUCAGUAUUUUAUUUUUUACUGGUUUACGGUAAUAAAUAAAUUUAAAAAUG